rnacentral:rRNA from 1 species
UGGGGAAUAUUGGACAAUGGGCGAAAGCCUGAUCCAGCCAUGCCGCGUGUGUGAAGAAGGUCUUCGGAUUGUAAAGCACUUUAAGUUGGGAGGAAGGGCAGUAACCUAAUACGUUGCUGUCUUGACGUUACCGACAGAAUAAGCACCGGCUAACUCUGUGCCAGCAGCCGCGGUAAUACAGAGGGUGCAAGCGUUAAUCGGAAUUACUGGGCGUAAAGCGCGCGUAGGUGGUUUGUUAAGUUGGAUGUGAAAUCCCCGGGCUCAACCUGGGAACUGCAUUCAAAACUGACAAGCUAGAGUAUGGUAGAGGGUGGUGGAAUUUCCUGUGUAGCGGUGAAAUGCGUAGAUAUAGGAAGGAACACCAGUGGCGAAGGCGACCACCUGGACUGAUACUGACACUGAGGUGCGAAAGCGUGGGGAGCAAACA